rnacentral:rRNA from 1 species
GGGUUGUGAGGUUAAGCGACUAAGCGUACACGGUGGAUGCCCUGGCAGUCAGAGGCGAUGAAGGACGUGCUAAUCUGCGAUAAGCGCCGGUAAGGUGAUAUGAACCGUUAUAACCGGCGAUUUCCGAAUGGGGAAACCCAGUGUGAUUCGUCACACUAUCAUUAACUGAAUCCAUAGGUUAAUGAGGCGAACCGGGGGAACUGAAACAUCUAAGUACCCCGAGGAAAAGAAAUCAACCGAGAUUCCCCCAGUAGCGGCGAGCGAACGGGGAGGAGCCCAGAGCCUGAAUCAGCAUGUGUGUUAGUGGAAGCGUCUGGAAAGGCGCGCGAUACAGGGUGAC